rnacentral:rRNA from 1 species
CCCUUAGAUGUCCUGGGCCGCACGCGCGUUACACUGAUGCAUUCAACGAGCUUAUAACCUUGGCCGAGAGGCCUGGGCAAUCUUGUUAACGUGCAUCGUGAUAGGGAUAGAUUAUUGAAAUUAUUAAUCUUGAACGAGGAAUUCCUAGUAAACGCAGAUCAUCAAUCUGCAUUGAUUACGUCCCUGCCCUUUGUACACACCGCCCGUCGCACCUACCGAUUGGAUGGUCCGGUGAAGCCUCGGGAUUGUGGUUCUUGCCGCUUUAUUGUGGCGUGACCGCGAGAACUUGUCUAAACCUUAUCAUCUAGAGGAAGGUGAAGUCGUAUCA